ensembl:snRNA U6 U6 spliceosomal RNA
CUGCUCACUUCAGCAGCACAUAUACUAACACUGGAAUGAUAUAGAGAAGAUUAGCAUGGCCUCUAAAAAAUGUGAUAAUAAGAAAAAAAUGGCUAAGCUUG